rnacentral:rRNA from 1 species
UGGGGAAUAUUGGACAAUGGGCGCAAGCCUGAUCCAGCAAUGCCGCGUGUGUGAAGAAGGCCUGCGGGUUGUAAAGCACUUUCAGUAGAGAAGAAAAGCCUAAGGUUAAUAACCUUGAGUCUUGACGUAACCUACAGAAGAAGCACCGGCUAACUCCGUGCCAGCAGCCGCGGUAAUACGGAGGGUGCAAGCGUUAAUCGGAAUUACUGGGCGUAAAGGGCGCGUAGGCGGCAUGACAAGUCACUUGUGAAAUCUCUGGGCUUAACCCAGAACGGCCAAGUGAUACUGUCGCGCUAGAGUGCAGAAGGGGCAAUCGGAAUUCUUGGUGUAGCGGUGAAAUGCGUAGAUAUCAAGAGGAACACCUGAGGUGAAGACGGGUUGCUGGGCUGACACUGACGCUGAGGCGCGAAAGCCAGGGGAGCAAACGGGAUUAGAUACCCCUGUAGUCCCUGAGCGGGCUGGCAAGGCG